rnacentral:lncRNA from 1 species
CUCUAGGGUAAUUCCUGGAGAGACAACCAGAGACAAAGAACCCCCGGGGAGACUCAGAAGUCACAGGAAGAACGGGGAAAGGAAAAUCAACCAGAUAAAUAGAGGCAGCCAUCAUGUUGUGUGAUGCUAAGAAACGAGAAAGCUGAAGCCUGAGAAGCAUCCUUUAAAUGCAGCACCACUACUCCUGUUUUCGGAAACCAGGAGCAACACAAGGUGAGUGGGCUGGGGGGGGGGGGCGGGGGCGGUAAAGAUGAGGAAGCAGGACGAAGAUGUGCUCUCAGGGUCUGGCCAUGAACAAGGGGACUGCGGUGAUUGGGGGCUGAGAUAGAUGCAGGUCAUGGAAGGAGGUUUUCUCUUGUUACCAUAUUCAUUUAAAGAGAGGAAAGACUUGGGUGUUUAAAUUCUGAUGAGAAGGAGCCAGUAGAUAGAAAAGAAUUUUCUGGAACAAUACAUUGAGUAAGGUCUCUGAAGAGACAAGAAGGGAUGGGAACCUGAACUCAUUGGUCGUUGGUUUUGUAUUCAUGUACCCCUCCCUCCCCCCCCCACCACAAUUCACAGGUACACAUCUAUCGUAUUGCCUCUCUGUGGGCCUUUUCAACCUCCUUUGCGAUAACUGUGUAUAGUGAAUUCCUAUAGUGUAUAGGAACUAUGUCUAUCUUACUCAGCACUGUAUCCAUCGCAUCCAUAGUAGCUGCUCAGUACACAUGUAGUUAAAUAUAGCAGGUGAUUCUUAGUAUCUUUAUAAUGAAAAUUUUAGGAGAGAAGACUUGGCAUAAGGGCUAGAGGCCAUAGCAUGUUAUUUCAAGGCCUCCAAGUGUCUCGUACUUAGCAGUAGAUCAAUAACAUCCUUUUCUAACUCAAACCUUAAGACCCUCUCAAGAGGCAGCAUGGUUUAGUUUAAUGUCCAGUCUGCUGCCUUUGGACCCAGCAGGCCUGGGCUAUUCGACCACUUAUUAGUAGUGAUGGGCCUCAGGCACAUUGUUCUACAUAUCUUAACCUCAGAUUCUUGAUCAGCACAAGUCAGGGGGAAGACAGUCCUGUGGGAGAGGAGACAGGAGCUAGAGCAACCCCACAGAACAUCAGAACCUUCCACAGGUUGUUAGGGAGCAGAUAUUCAGAACCAAAGUUUCUCAGGAUUCAGUGGAGAAAAAUCUAACAGAGCUCUGCCAGAUAGAUAUUUUUACAAACUUGCUUUGUUCAUAACUAAGAAUGACGUUUUAUAUCAUCACUGAGAUGGUACAUAAGAUGUUUCUCAUAAACUCUGGUAGUUAAGCUUCUGGUAGACUCUCUGUAUCCAUCUGUGGUAGACUGAUGUUUUCCCAGCCCAGCUGAAAUACCACACAGCUUGCAAGUAACAGAGCUAGGACUCAAGUCUAGAUCUAACGUGAAAACUAGAUCUCACAUCCCUCCCACAAACCUAUUAGGAAGAUAUGGAGAGCCCAUGGAACAAAGGGCAAGAUAUUGAAGAGGCACUUGACCAAAAAAAAACAAAAAACAUCCAAUAGGUAAUAAAUGUGUGUGCUGAUGCUCAACAUCAUUGAUCAUCAGGCAAAUGCAAAGUAAAUCCACAAGCAGAGACUUCCAAACCCUGGAAGAAGCACUAAAACAGGAGUUGCUGGAUUAGCUAGGCGUCUCAUCCAUAGAACACGGGAGUCCCUAUGGAGUUACUCUUCAGUUUACCUGAGGCUGUAUCUUGGAACACAAAGAUCUGAAUGAGCUGGAGUUGAAGGAAUUUGCAUGUGGUCUAUGGUGGAGCUGAUAACUUGCCUUGGUAUGGUUUGGUCCGAUUUAUCUAUAUUUGCAAGGUAUAGUGCAAGCCCUGUUGAAAAUCUGAUUUUUCCGUUUCGGUUCUCAUUAUUCUCUUCACAGUCUAGCUGCCAGCAGGGCACAUUUUAUCUUUAUUGCUAUAUAUCUAUACACUAUAUAUUAAUUUGAAUUUUUUAAUGUUUAUUUUUAUUUGUGAAAGAGAGUGUGAGCAAGGGAGGGGCAGAGAAAGAGGGAGACAUAGAAUCUGAAGCAGGCUCCAGGCUCUAAGCUGUUAGCACAGAGCCCGGUGUGGGGCUCAAACUCACGAACCGAGAGAUCAUGACCUGAGCCGAAGUCAGACACUUAACCAAUUGAGCCAUCCAGGCGCCCCUAUGCUGUGUAUUAAUAUUUGCAUGUAUAUUCACUGAAUUCUACACUUAUGACACAUGCACUCUGUUGACCUAUGUCAUACUUCAAUAUAAACUCAUAAAAAAUAAAAAGCCAUGAAUUUCUCAAUCCUACUCUGCCACUCUUCUCUUCAUCUUCCCUGAUUUCUCCCCACUGCAUUGCUCUACCUUUUAGCCCUGUGAACUGGUGGACACUUGGCUUCUACUUAAGCCCUCCUCCAAAAUGUGGCUGCUCUGAGUCUACACAUCUCCCCUGAGAAAGCAGGUCCCCUGUCCUCUCCUACACCUACCUUCCCCCUUCCCAUGGGAAACCCCUCUGGCUAUGUGGGACUUUCCCACAACCCCUUACUGUGGCUCAUUUUAGAUUGGCAGUCUACAUAUUGGGUUCAUUUUCCUCUCAUAUUCUGUAUUUCAAAAUGAUACUGAUAUGAGGUUGCACUGUUUAUUUUAGAAACUUUCCAUUUUUUUUUCUACAUGAUAUUUCAGAAUGGGCUUUUUACUACAUGGGGGAGAAAAGAAUAAAAGCUUUUUUAACCAGAACUAACCAACUAACUAAUUAACUCCCCACUUCCUCCCUCCCUUCUUUCCUUCCUUCCUUCCUAAAUGUACAUACCCUGAAAUAACAUCUUGAUCUGAACAGAGGAAAGUUCUUAUAACUUAUCUAGAAGUGGUUAUGAAGCUAGUAUGAGAAGCCCCCAUGAUUAUUUUUAAGAUUGCUCUGCUGACACCUACUGGACAGAAUCUCUUACCAAACACACAACACAAGUAAAGCAACAAAGAUUCCCUAUUCUAAUUGUGAUACAUGAACUAUUUUUUUUCAAAGAAUAAAAUGGAUGAGAUUAAUUAAUUUUUAAACUUUUUGUGUGAGUCCAAAUUAAUUUUCUUUUAUUCCUUUCUUUCCUUUUUUCUUUCUUUCCUUUCUUUCUUUGGGAAGAGAAUAUAUAAAGGUCAAACAUUUCCAGUUUUUCAGCUUGGAAAAAAAAAAAGUACCACUUUCCUUUAAUACAAUAGUGAAUUGAGAAAAUCUUUUUAUACUUAACAAGCUGUAUCCAAAUUGUCAUAUUCCUGCUGGUAGAUCUCCCAGCUUAACAAAAACGGAUGAGAUGAAAACAUAUUUUGUAAAUUAAUCAGCUGGUUUCCAAUGAGAAGUUAAUGUGCUCUCCUCAGUCAUUUAAAAGGCCCUUUUAAUCCCAAACAAGCACUUAUGACCAUUGGGAAUUCCAAACCAAACAAGACUUUUAUUUAACAGUUAACUAGGGGUAAUAAAGCUCUACUUCUUAAAGCUAUAAUUUUAAAGACUUUGAUAAAUGCAUAGCCACAAUGGAAUUUAAAAUGUAUUUAAUUUAAACAUUUAAUUUUUUAGCUGUAGGGGGAGGGUCCAGGAACCAGAUUGACAAGAAAUGUCAGAGUUGUGCCUAGAACUCAGAACCUGAAUCCCAGGCCAGCGCAUCAGGCAGUGGCUACUGUAUCACUGGACCUUAAUUGUGAACUUACGGUUUAUCCUAUGACAGCGAUGAUUCGCAUUAUAUUAUGGAUUAACAUCAUUCCUUACUUCAACUCAUUGGUUUAUUAGAUGCUAACAAUGGAGCAUAUCAUCUGGUGACAAAUUUGGGGAAAAAUGUAUUACUAUUUAUUGAGGCAUAGUCAAUAACCAUAAAUUUAGCAGCUUAAGACAACACCUACUUAUUGUCUAUAGUUUCUGUAGAUCAUUUCUGAGGUCAGGAGUCAAAGCAUGACUUAGCUGGGUCUUCUGACUCAGGGUCUCAUGAGGCUAAAAUCAAGAUGUUGGCUGGGGCUGUAGCCUCAUCAGAGGUUCAACUGGGGAAGGAUCUGCUUCCACUCCCUCUCAGGCUAUUGGUGGAGUUCACUUCCUUGUAGCUGAAGGACCAAGGGCCUAAUUUUCUUGUUUUAUAGGACAGACUCUUGCUCUCAACUACAGGUGACUUCCUGGAGUUCCUUGUCAUGUGGGUUUCCCUAACAUAGUAGCUCACUCCAUGGCAGCUUGUUUCUUCAGAGCCAGCAAGAGUCUGCAAGAUAGUGCUACAGUUUUAUGUAACACCACCACAGAAUCAUGUACAUGUAAUUGCAAACGUCUUGUCUCCUUUGCCACAUUCUAUUGGUUGGAAUCAAGUAAUGAGUCCUACCCACACAUGAGAGGACACCAGGAGGCAAGGAUAUUGGGGACUACCCUAGAAUCUUUCCCCCACAAAAGAGAUACAAAAAAUACCAAACUCACAUUCGGAUCCAACUUGCAUUUAAAAAUAGAAAAGCACCCACAUGUAUAAUUUUGUCUUGAAAAUGUGAGUGUGUGUAUACUUAAUUUAACAGAAAACAAUACUUAAGUGUUGCUGGUAUCCUUCCACAAAUGAAACAGCUCCUGUGAAGGGGCCUAGAGUAAUGGAACCUGUAGCCAGUAACCAUCAAAAACCACAGGAAUAUUCCUGUCCCUCAAAUGGGGGUGUGAAUGCUCUUCAGAGAGAGAUAAUAGAUGUGGCAAAAGAAAGCUUAUUUCAAAACAGCUAAAAAAUAGGCAAAAGACAAAAAAGAACAAAAUAAAUCCAUUUGCAUGAGCCCUAUAGACGCAUGACUGUUUUGAGUUUUAAAACUAAUUAUUCCAUGGAAAGUACAGCCAAAUACUUAUUGCUGAUAGUAUACCACAUUUUUCAACACCUAUUUCAAUUUUCUUGAUUGCAUUUUAAAAUAAGAUACGUUCGAGAAGCUUCUACCAUGCACCAGGCAGUUACAGUUUUGUCAACUUAUUUGUCCUCCAUUAAAUCUUGGAAUUCGUGGACUUAGAUUUGAGUAGCACCACAGAUAGCACUAGAACAGAUGCAGGGAAUGUUUUAUUAACGCAUAUAAGCAAAGUGAAGUUGUUUCCUAUAUGGAUAGAGUUUGGCUAUGGCAAUAUGCGAGAGCAAUUUUGCAGGCUCUAAAGAUGAGUUACAACUAAUUAAGCAUUGACUCAGCCAGGUUAGCAUACUGCCAGAUUGAUAAUGGAUAUUCAAUAAAUCUCAUUUAAUCUCCAAAUAACCUUCUAAGUCACGGUAUUACUCUUACUUUAUAGAUGAGGAAACCAGUGCUUAGAAGUUAGGUAGCCAGCCCAAGGUCAAGCAGAUAAUGAGUGGAGAGUUCUGAGUUUCUAACUAGUGCCAUUUCUCUCAUAGAACAGCUACCCAAUAUUUGCAUUUUAAAUUAAUUUAUCUUUUAAAAUAUCUAAAAGAAGUAUCAUUGCUCCCAACAGAUAGGAUUUGCCAGAAUUAGCCAAAAAGCGUAUACAUGUGUUUCUUUUAGGUCAAAGAGUGUGAGCACUUCACAAAAAUAUUCUUAAAAAUAACCAAUGGAUAAAGAAAUAAAUGUAUGAAAAGGAAAAUGUCCUUGGUUGUCCAAAAGUUGCCAUGACACUGAUCUGUUGGGACAGGAGAUCUCAAGUUGACAUCUUGGCUCUGAGGGUCCACGAGUUCCUUGGGGUUGUAAGAGCCAAUCCAGGGGCCACCUAAAGAAGCUGUAGGGCUCUCAUGACAUGAAGUACAUGGCAGCAAAUAGUCCUCUAUUUACUCUAUUUACUCUGUGUGUAUAGAUGGCAACUUUUUAAAAACUUAUUUAUUUAAAUUCUAGUUAACACACAGUGUCGUAUUGGUUUCAGGAGUAGAACCCAGUGAUUCAUCACUUACACGUAACACCCAGUGCUCAUCCCAAGAAGUACCCUACCUAAUGCCCAUCACCCAUUUAGCCCAUCCCACACCCAACACUCCUCCAGAAACCCUCAGUUUGUUCUCUGUAUUUAAGAGUCUUUUGUGGUUUGCCCCCCUCUGUUUUUGUCUUCUGUUUCCUUCCCUUCCCCUAUGUCCAAUCUGUUUUGUGUCUUAAAUUCUACAUAUGAGUGAAAUAAUAUGAUAUUCGUCUUUCUCUGACUGACUUAUUUCACUUGGCAUAAUACACUCUAGUUCCAUCCAUGUUGUUGCAAAAGGCAAGAUUUCAUUCUUUUUGAUUGCCAAGUAGUAUUCCAUUGUGUGUGUGUGUGUGUGUGUGUGUGUGUGUGUGUGUGUAUACAUCUUCUCUAUACAUUGUAUAGAUGGCAGUUUAGACUUCAAAAACAAUAUCCAUUAAAAUCAGUUAAGGAAGGAUAAAUUAUUCAAUAAUUUUGGGGAAAUAGAUUCAAAAGAUAGCUCUAUUUCAUACCAAAAACAAGUCCUCAUCACAUUAAAUAUAACUGUAAAAACAUAAAAAAAUGUUAUACACUUGUAUGAUGAAAAGACUUUCUUAGCAUGUCACUUAGGUAAAUGCAUGCAUGUGCACACACACUGUAGACACAUUCUAUUGUUCUUUCUUGUCGGUGUUCUUUCCUUCCUUUUUUUUAGUAAAAGAAAACCUCUGAUGCUUUUAGAAACCAUUCCUUCCUGUUGCUCUGUCCCCAUGACUCACCAUCCCUACCCUCCAGUUCUAGAUCAAAACCAAACCUGGCCCAUCAGAACCACAUUCUUCAAGCCACUUCACAUUCACGGAGACGUAACCUGAGCCAAGCUAGGCAAAGUCUUCCAAAGGCUUUGUUGGAGUUCUUGGGGAAAAGACUCCCUUUUCAGGGUCUUGGGAAACUAAAGUAAGUCAGAACCUGCUGAUGGAAUGAAGCAGGAGAGGGAGGGGAGAAGAAUUGAAGAGGGAAAGGAGGACAACAGAAAAGAUAAAGAAGGAAAUGAAAGAUGAGGGACAAAAAGGGAAAGGCAAUGAUCAAGAAUCCUCCCUAUGCAACAUAUCUUUGAAAUAGAUUGUUUUAACUUUGGGAUUGUAUUUGAACCCAAAAAUUAUUUUCAAUUAUGGAACAGAAGGGAGCUACCAAUUUCCAAGGGUUGAAUUGCUUUAAAUAGCUAUAUUGCUAUAUCCAAUCUUGCUGUGUUGGGGAGUCCCUCAAAAUUAAGGCAGAAAAAUGGUCCACUGAUGGGAGUGAAAAAUACUUUCAUUAAGAAAGGAAGCUGAGUGUAUGUGUUUUCCAUUCUGUUUUAUCCUAUACAGAAGUCUACCUAAGAACCCUCUUCAUUUCCCUUCAUCACUCUUUAUUGAAAUUCAUGGACUUUAAAAGAACCUUAAGGAUAAUGAGGAGGAUGUGAUUUAUUAUUAUUUAGAGAAUUUUAAUGAUCAGAGAAACCAAGAGCUUAUGUGAGCAUAAAAUACUUAACAUUACAUUCUGUAUUUACCAAAACAAAUGCACAAUUAUGUCAACUAAUUUUUACUUAAUCCAUUGUUGGAAUAAUUUAUUUAUGAAGAUUAACUUGAAUAACAUUGCAAUCAGUAGGAGAACUGGAAUGGGGGGAAAGCAUAAAUAGUAUAAAUAAAUAAUGAAGUGAAAUAAAUAAAUGAAAGGAGACUAUAGAAACAAGUCAGUGCUGUGUGUUCUCCCCUCAUAUUAAAGAAGAAUACAAAGGAUCUCAUGUGCCAAUGUCACUGAAAUGUGGAAUGGGCUGAGCUCCUGGCUUUCAGGGAAAGGCUUUAUUUUUUUUUAAUUUUUUUAAUGUUUAUUUAUUAUUAUUAUUAUUUUUAUUAUUUUAAUGCUUAUUUUUGAGAGAGACAGAGACAGAAUGCGAGUGGGUUAGGGGCAGAGAGAGAGGGAGACACAGAAUCCGAAGCAGGCUCCAGGCUCUGAGCUGUCAGCCCAGAACCCGACACGGGGCUUGAACUCACAAACCACGAGAUCAUGACCUGAGGUGAAGUCAGACGCUUAACCGACUGAGCUACCCAGGUACCCUGGGAAUGGCUUUAUUUUACACCAGCCAACAACUGUCUUCAAACAUUUUCUGCCCACAUUCUUGUCCCUGCCUUUUUCCAGUAUUUGUGGAAGAAUCCAUCAUUUUCUGGUCAUUUUCAGUUUUAACAACUUCAUUCAGGAAACUAUUAAGGGCACUUAUUCUGCACUCUUCACAUGUCCAGGGAAAAGAACGUCCAUUGAAGGAAACCCUUGCCUGUCUCUGCUACCUCCCCCAGUACUUCUUGAAUAGCAGUUGCCCAAUAUUGCCUUUGACUCAGUGGAUGGGUUAAUUCUGAGAUAAUGUUUUAGGAAAGCUACAUAGGACACAACAGAAGACUUAUUCUACAACCAGCUUUAUUUGUAAAAUGUUGAAAUAGUGAUAUAUUUUAAAUCUCCCUCUGCCCAACUUCUGAAUCAAUCAAUCAGUUAUUUCAGACAGGAAACCAAACAAGGAGGAGGAAUAUUAAGUGUUGGCUUCUUGAAUCCCAAAGACAAUUGGGAUGGAUUUUUCAGUCAUUAGAGUUAGGGUCUCACACUAUAUUUAAUUCAAAACUUCUCCUCUUCCUUCACUCAGGUCUGACCCAUUAUGCGCACACCUCCAGUGGGGAAAGGGAUAUGGUUCAUUCUUUCACUCUUGUCCUCUCCUCUAUUCACUACGCAAUGCCCUCCUUCCUGAUCUCUGUAAUAGCCUUACUCAGCUCUCCUUUCUCACAGACUACAGUUCCCUCACCCUAGUAAGCUGCUGUCUCAGGUGGGCUCUUUCAAGAUGGCUUCAGCCCAGUCACCCACCAUGAGAGACAGUAUGGCAACCAGACUCGUGGUAUUUCAUUUGCCAUCCAUGUGACCCAUGUAGAAAAUGCAAAAGCUAAAAUAUCAAUAUCAUGUGGUUGCUGAAGGAUUAAAUAAAUUAAUAUGCCUAUUAUAUAUAUGCGUAUAUGUAUGCGUAUAUAUAUGCGUAUGACGCAUAUAUAUGUAUUAAGCUAUAUUAUUUUGAACAGGGCAUGAAGAAUUGCAUACCUAAGUGUAAAAAACAAUGUGGAUAUUGGUAGUAAGUAAUUAGAAGACCUGGUAGUUCCAUCAUAAUGCAAUGAAUAAAAUGGAAGAGCACAGAAGUUUAACAAAGAAAGCCAAGGAAAGAGACAGCCAAGGAGAACCCAAGGAUUUCAGCCCUGGCCAUGGUAAGGACUGUGUGCAAGCAACAGACUGCAACCACUCAGGAACAACCAGAACAGUUUGUGGGGUAAACUUGAAAGUAUUUCCUAAGCCACAUUGAGAAGCAUUAGCAAAGGACAGAAGCCUUACUGUCUCAAGAGGCUUACUUGGCUCUACACCUGGCCAAACACUGAUUGAAAAAGCGAUUUCAACACAGAGAUGACUUCUAGGAAGCUUAAAUUAAAAUUAAAUGACAGUCAUCCCCAGUCUGGAAAACUGUGUGCACGCUCAAGACUGCACCCUCUCAGAGGUGACUAGAAAAGGAAGUUGCAGAUAUCUGGACCAUGGCUGAAUGUGGAACAAAACCAUAAAAUCCCUGAACUGUGAAAGCAGUCUCCAAGUCAUACAUAUAUACAACGAUAAAGCCUUACAUAUAAUCAGGAAAUUCUAACUGGCUGGAGAGCUCAAGCACGGCCUUUGUCCAGUGACUCAGGAGCUGACUCAGGAACUACCCUAGGCAGCUACACUGAAAGACAAAAACAAGGGGAAAAAAAUGUAAGCAGAGACUUCAGAGCCUACAUACCACUGAGCAAAUAGACUUCACAGAUCGUGUUCAGCCAAGUCUCUAAACACAUAAUUGAUGAAACAAAACAAAAGCAAGCCCUGAGGGGGAGGAAUAGAGUCAGUAUCCAGGUUCACUACAACUCAUUAUCUAAAACUGUCCAGCUUUCAAGAGAAAAAUUAUAAGACAUACAAAGAAACAGGAAAUUAUCCCGCACCCAGAAGAAAAAAGCAAGCAAUAGAAAUUGCCUUUGAGGGGAUCCAGAUGUUGGACUUCUCAAGCAAAGCCUUCAAAGCAGCUAUUAUAAAUAUGUUCCAAUCAAUAAAGAAAGCCCUAUUUAUUUAAACAAUUAAAGGAAGGUAUAAAAACAGGAUGAUUGAUCACGUAGAGAAGAUUAAUAAAAAAGAAAUUAUUAAAAGAAUCAAACAAAUUCUGGAGUUGAAAAGCACAAUGCUAAAAUGAGGGAAAAAGUCUUCAAAGGAGUGUGUAUUAGUUUGCUAGGGCUUCUAUAACAAGAGAUCACAAACUGAGAAGCUUAAACAACAUAAAGUUGUUGCCCCACAGUUCUGGAGACUGGAAGUCUGAGAUCAACGUAUCAACAGAGUUGUUUCCUUCUGAGGGUCAUAAGGAAGAACUCUGUUCCAUGCUUCUUUUCUAGAUUCUGGUGGUUGGCUGGCUUUCUUUGGUGUUCCUUGACUUCUCCAUCACCCCAAUCCUUGGCUUCACUUUCGCGUGGUUUUCUCCCUGUGUGUGUGUGUCUGUGUUCGAAUGUCUCCUGUUUAUAAGGACACCAUUCACAUUGGCUACGGGCUCACCCUAUUCCACCAUGACCUCAUCUUAACUUAGUUAAUGCCAUCUGAAAAACAAGUCUAUUUCCAAAUAAAGUCACAUUCUGUGGUGCUGGAGGUUUAGGACUUUAUACAUACACUUCAACAGAAUGCAAAAAUAAAUUUGAUCUGAUGGAUGAAUCCACAAACUUGAAAGCAGAUCAACAGAGAUUGUGAAAUCUGAAGAACAAAGAGAAAAAAGAACGAGGAAAAAUGAACAGAGCCUCAGAGAAAUGUAUCAGCAAUCAGGCCAAUAUUUGCAUAAUGGAAGUACCAGAAGGAGAGGAGAAAUAUAUUCAAAGAAAUAAUUGGAAUUCUUAUUGCAAUUGAUCAGAAAUGGAUUGGAAUUAGAGGGUUGGGGUGGAGAGUGAGAAAACAGGUGGAAGCCAGGAAAGGAGGUGGGGUAGAAAAGUGGCUAAAACAUGUUUUAUAGCAGCAACAUCUGAUCGACUUUAAUUUCUGUUACAUGCUGUACCUUGUUAUUCUACUACCAUAUAACCCAACUCUUCAGCAAAAAUCUACUUUACACAACAACAUAUGCGAUGAGUGUUGGGAAAAUUAAGGAAAAGAACCAUGGAGAUGGAGAAGAAAGCACUGGGCACAGGUACUAAACAGAAGAAAGAUCAAGAAGUCAAAGCCAGAGUUGAUUGAGCCAUGAGCAGUCAAGGAUCGUCUGAUAAACUGCAAGAAAUGUUGGGCUUCACGCUGCAUUAAGGUGGGAUUUAAGCCAGUUUUAACUGAAUCUUCAGGGACAAGGAAAAACCAGACAGAUUGCAAUUCUUAUUAUAAUUUCAACAAUAGAUAAUACAGUUACUGCCCAAAUUGUACUAAAAGCUUAAUGGAAAAAGAACUUGGUCUCAGUCGCGUUUUCUUAACUUACCACAUGGCUUCAAAACACAUCUAAACAAUGAGUUGCAGAGCAUAUAGGUUCAUAUUGCUUGCCUCAGAUAAAUGCGCGUGUUCUUUUUCCUUUCAGGGUGAUUUGAUUCACAUCACAUUUUUGCAUACCUAGGGGAAUAGGAGUAAGUUGAACUUACAACCGUGAGGUCUGCCGUAAGAUCAUUUCCCCAUCUUUCAAUAUGAAUCUUCUCACCAGUGGGAAAGGAUUCCAAACUGCUUGGCUGCGGGCUCACUUCAUAAUACAUCAAAGCCUCAGCCGUAUCCCAGCAGCGAGCCUUUCCAGAAGGGACCUGUCAUUCUCAUCAUCUCUAAUGUCUUCAAAACUUGUGUACUCAUUUUGUUCAAUGCGAACUCUUUUGUAUAAAAGAUAAACACUCUUUAAUAAGGAUUCUGUACAUCUUAGAUCUGAGACAAUCCGUGAACGGUAAACAAGUGCAUGUGAGUGAAGAGAAGAGGGAGCUGAAUGCACAGGGACGUCUUUGAUUGAAGGGAAUUUCAGCAUCGGAGAUUUUGUAUUUUUAAUGUCAUGUACCAUUGCAGCUGUCUUUCUUUCCUCUAUAAUAAUGGAAGGACGGCCUUUUUCUUGAAUGGGAGAUCCUAACUGUAACAUCACCCUUUUUCUCAGAAGAGAAAAUUAUCUUUCCUAGAGUUAAUAAGCAACCUGUAGCUGAGACUCAGUGAGGCCAAAGCACAUCUGAGAAAUGAGCCAUGUAGGCUCUUUGACCUUGAGUGAACCUCAAGGUCAAGGAGUAACUGAUGGAGAAAACGUUUGUGUCCAAGCUGAAUUUCAGGGUGAGCUGAUAAGGACUAGUUCGGAUUAACGCAGGGGCAAUGGGACUGAAUCCUGAGCACCCAGAGGAAUGAACAGGAGUGCCAGGAGCACACCAUUUACUGCCUGUGUAACCUUGGCCAGUGGCAAAGUUAACUUCUGUGCACUUCCAUUUUCUCUUAUGUAAAAGGAAGAUAAUACUUUUUAACUUCAUAAGGUUGUUCUGGGGAUAAAUGAGACGCUGUGGGUAAAACACCUGUAAGCUAACUUGGCAGAGAGAGUGUUUUUUUUUUUUUCCCAUUGUCAUCCCCAACUAAUAAAAUAAGUCUAAAAUAAAAUCUUUACAAAUAAGGAUUGAUAAUUCCUCGUGAAUAUCUGUUUUAAGAACAGUGUGUUUGUUAUACCAAACAUGAUGUGGAGAAUUCACGAGCACAAUUUAUGAUGGAAGGAGAUUUGCAAUGAAAACCAUUUUUGAUGCUCCAAUAAAGGACACGGAGGGGAACACGCCUGUCACCUAGAAGCAUCACACCUAAUAUCACUUCCAGAGAAGUUAUUAAUUUAAACCAGCAAACCAAAGCUGUUGAGAGACAGAAAAUGCCACAGAGCCCGUGGACCACAAGCAGGUCCCCACCCUCUUGUGGUGCGGUGCCUGCUUGUCAGUGUUUUCAUCUACACAAAUGAGUGGGAGGCAGAGGGCAGGGGUUAUCCCCUUCUAAUUCUAAUUGGCACUUUCAUUUUCUGCAAAAUAAAAGUCAUUUCUAGCAAUUGCCAAUUUCAAGCAAAAAGUCAAUUGCUCAAGCAAUUGACUAAGUGCUCCUUUCAGCAAGUCUACAGAAUUUAUCUAGGAUGAUACUAUACAGAAAUGCUGUUUCCAGAGAGCCCUGUAGGGCCGUACUGAGUACCUGACUAGUUUGGAGAAGCCUGGAGUACACUAGAAACUCUUGGGACUCACGAGAGCUGCAGGGAAUUAGGUUUCCCUGGGUUUCGAACGAGGGCAGCAGACAUCCACGGAGUCAACCACCUCCUGCACUACAAAAAUGCUCCACUGAAAAUUCCGGAAGGCUUUCUGGGAAGGUGAAAGAAUAGUGUGAAGUAAAACAAACAAAUGUGUCUCUUCAGGUUUGGACUCUAUCUCAUAAAAGUGAUAAUUUUAUAGUUUAUCUGGCAUUUUCUCAUGGUUAGAACAGGGACAGCUUUCUUCAACAGCCAUCGUUGGCACUGGUGGUACAUCAGAGAGGGUUAAUGGUGCCACAUGGAAAAGGCAGAUCUGGCCUGGAUCUAAUUAAGUGGCUUUAGGCCAGUUCCCCAAACCCUUUAAGUCUUGUGUUCCUCAUCUGUAAAGUAGGUGCUGACGAUAAUGCGUACACGACAGAAUAUUGAUGAGUGUUAAGUAAAUUAAUAUGGAAAAGAACUUUCUCAAAGCUUAAUGUUCAGACAAAUCAGUAGGAAUCUUAGUAAUGCAGAUUCUGACUGAGAAGAUAUGAUUAUGCAUCGUAGGUAUUUUAGGGCUGCUGGUGCUAGAACAAUCUUUUUAGUAGUCAAUCUUUACAGAUGUUGUCUCAGGCUUGGCACAUUGUAAACAUUCAGUAAAUGUUAGCUUUAUUAUAAUUAUUUGUAUCCAUUAAAAAUUCCAAAUCAAAAAACCCUGCGUGUUGGCCUUCCUUUCAGCUAUGGAAUGCCUCUGGAACUCUCUACUAACCCUCAGGAGCAGCAACGUUCAAGAAAAGUUCGCAUACAGUGAAAGUAAAAUCACGUCGGGGUAGUAGGCUGCAUAUUCUCACCCAAAGAGAUCGAGUCCUAAUACUUGGAACCUGUAAAGGUUACUUUAUAAGGAAAAGGGUCUUUGCAGAUGUGAGUAAAUUUAGAAUUCUGAAAUGAGAUUAUCCUGGAUUAUCUGGGUGAGCCCUAAACGCCAUUACAAGUGUCCUCAUAAAGAGAUUGACUGGGUGGGGCUGGGGUGGGGGAGCGGAUAAAUUAGAUGUACAUACAGAGGAGAAGGUGAUGUGAAGAAAGAGGCAGAGAUUGGAGUGAGGUGGUCAGAAGCCACAGAGAAACUGGCGGCCUCCAGAAGCUGGAAGAAGCAAAGGAUCCUCCCCUAGAGCUCCCACAGGGCACAGCCCUGCUGACACCUGACUUUGGACUCCUGCCUCCAGAACUGUGAGAGAAGAGAUUCCUUUUGUUUUAAGCCUCCAAAUUUAUAAUAAUUUUGUUACAGCACUGGUAGGAAAUGGAUGCAACUGGUUGAAGAUACAAGCGAAGUUGUGAAUAUUUCAAAAGCUAAGCAUUUGACAGAGUAAAUUAUUUUUUCUUUACUUAAAGAAAGGUCCGGACCAUCACGAAAAGCAUAAAGGGACUAAAGGCAUUUUAGCAAUGAGAUUUUAUUUUAGGGAAUUGGAUAAACCUUAUAUUCUGCACUUGCUUUUUAGUGUUUAUUUAUCUAUGCUGAGAGAGAGAGAGAGAGAGAGAGAGCAGGGGCAGGGGCAGAGAGAGGAGAGAGAGAAUUCCAGGCAGGUCCAUGCUCAGCGAGGAGCCCAAUGUGGGGCUCGCUCCCACAACUGUGAGACCAUGACCUGAGCCCAAAUCAAGAGUCAGACACUCAGCUAAUUGAGCCACCUAGGCGCCUCCCACUAUCCUGCUUUUAUGUAAAAUACAGAGUUUCAAAGAAAGUUAUCCUUAUUAUAACCAUGAGAAAAUGCCAGAUAAACUAUAAAAUUAUCACUUUUAUGAGAUAGAGACCCAAAAUUGAAGAGACAUUUGUUUUACUUCAUACUAUUCUUUCACCUUCCCAGAAAGCCUUCCAGAAUUUUCAGUGGAGCAUUUUUGUAGUGCAGGGGGUGGUUGACUCCAAGGGCAUCUGAUGCCCUCAAUGCCCUCCAGGCCCUGGAAGAGGCAGGAUUCACCUGUGCUCAGCCUUUCACAUCUUAAAGCACCCUGCCUCCCCUCCCUGCCAGAACUGGAAAAGAGAAAUGGGCUAUUUGGUCUUCACAGACCAAACUUUGUUUUUCAAGUUUAACCAUAUGUAAAAAGAAGUUUAAAAGAAAAAGCUGGCAAUCCCAAUCAAAAUUGCACCAGCAUUCUUCUCGAAAUUAGAACAAGCAAUCCUAAAAUUCAUAUGGAACCACAAAAGGCCCCGAAUAGCCAAAGGAAUUUUGAAGAAGAAGACCAAAGCAGGAGGCAUCACAAUCCCAGACUUUAGCCUCUACUACAAAGCUGUCAUCAUCAAGACAGCAUGGUAUUGGCACAAAAACAGACACACAGACCAAUGGAAUAGAAUAGAAACCCCAGAACUAGACCCACAAACGUAUGGCCAACUCAUCUUUGACAAAGCAGGAAAGAACAUCCAAUGGAAAAAAGACAGUCUCUUUAACAAAUGGUGCUGGGAGAACUGGACAGCAACAUGCAGAAGGUUGAAACUAGACCACUUUCUCACACCAUUUACAAAAAUAAACUCAAAAUGGAUAAAGGACCUAAAUGUGAGACAGGAAACCAUCAAAACCUUAGANCAAAGAAAGUUAUCCUUAUUAUAACCAUGAGAAAAUGCCAGAUAAACUAUAAAAUUAUCACUUUUAUGAGAUAGAGACCCAAAAUUGAAGAGACAUUUGUUUUACUUCAUACUAUUCUUUCACCUUCCCAGAAAGCCUUCCAGAAUUUUCAGUGGAGCAUUUUUGUAGUGCAGGGGGUGGUUGACUCCAAGGGCAUCUGAUGCCCUCAAUGCCCUCCAGGCCCUGGAAGAGGCAGGAUUCACCUGUGCUCAGCCUUUCACAUCUUAAAGCACCCUGCCUCCCCUCCCUGCCAGAACUGGAAAAGAGAAAUGGGCUAUUUGGUCUUCACAGACCAAACUUUGUUUUUCAAGUUUAACCAUAUGUAAAAAGAAGUUUAAAAGAAAAAGCUGGCACCCCAAGAUUCUAUACACAAUGCAAAAAAUUAGGUGAAAUAGAGAUUUUUUUUUUUUUCUGGACAAAAGGUAAAAAAUGCCAGCAGAAGUGUUCUUCAGAAAGUCCUCAAAGAAUUUCAUCAAGCAAAAGCAGUAUGGUAGCAGAUGCAAACUUAGAUCUACACAGAGAAAACUGGAGAUAAUGGAAAAAGGUAAAUAUAAAAAAUAUUUCUAUUUGUAUUUUUAUAUAUUUUUUAAUGUUAUAUUUAUUUAUUUUGAGAGAGAGCAUGUGCCAAGGGAGGGGCAGAGAGAGAGAGGGAAAGAGAGAAUUCCAAGCAGGCUCCAUGCUGUCAGCACAGAGCCACAUGAGGGGCUUGAACUCACAAAGCAUGAGAUCAUGACCUGAGCUGAAACCAAGAGUAGGAUGCUUAACCAACUGAGCCACCCAGUCACCCCAAGAUACUUCCAUUUUUAAUCAUUCUAAAAGACAUCUGAGACAAAAAUAGCUACAAUUAUCGUGGGGCUUCUAACAGGUGUAAAGGUAAAAUGGGUAACAAUAUGGCAGAAAGGAUGGAAGGGAGGGAUUGUAAGGUCCUGACCCACAAAUAAUAUAAUUUAAAAGUAGGCUGUGAUAAGUAAAAAUAUAUUUUGUAAACCCUUCUAAAAGGAAAACUGCAGUAUACACCUGUCAAAAACAGCAAGGAAGACUUUAUUCAAGACUACAGCAGUAGGUGAAAAAGACUGAACUCGACUCCAUCGGAACAAAGGGCAGAUCUUUGAAUAUGGGGCCGAGCUCAGGGAAAAGUACCCGAGGACAUUGAGAGAGGUCUGUCAGUGAGCUUGGGCCAUGUGUGUUUGCCAGUUGUUGCUUGUUGAGGUUCGGCUCCUCCCUUCCCACAGAGACUGGGAGACAGAGGCUCUCUACCUGUCUCAAGGGUUACAUUUCAAAGGGAUGGCUCCCAGGUCCUUGAAAAAGACGGGUAUCUCAAAGGGGCAGAGAAAAGAUUUAUAAUUACAAGUUUUGUAAAGUAAAUGCUCUUAACAAAAGGGAGGUCCAGAUGCCCAGAACCAGGAAGAAACCUGUUUCAUGUUUAACCAACCUGAAGGAAAUGGUAAGGCCAGCUGGAAAUUGGUUACCCUAGAAAUCCUUCAAAGCAAGAGGGAAAAAUGAAUGACCUUUAACUAAUAAGGCAAUACUGGAGAUCAAAUGGGAUCAUAAGCAACACUCCAUCCAAAAACAGGCAGAAAAAAAGGAACAAAGAAGAGAUGGAAUAAAUAGAAAACAAGUAGUAAGAUGAUAGGUUUAAAUCAAACCAUAGCAAUCAUCACAUGAAAAAUAAGUGGUCAGUACACCCCAACUAAAACACAGACGUAACCUGAUUCUAUGAAAACGAAGACUGAAUCAAAGAAGCCCACUUUAAAAAUAAAGACACAGAGGUGCCUGGGUGGCUCAGUCGGUUAAGCGUCCGACUUCGGCUCAGGUCAUGAUCUCACACUUUGUGGGUUUGAGCCCCGCAUGGGGCUCUGUGCUGACAGCUCAGAGCCUGCAGACUGCUUGGGAUUCUGGGUCUGAAUCUCUCUCUGCCCCUCCCCUGCUCACACUCUGUCUCUAUCUCUCUCGAAAAUAAAUAAACUUAAAAAAAAUUUUUUUCAAUCAAAAAUAAAGGCAGAGAUAGUUUAGAAAGAAAGAAAAUAGAAGGAUGGGAAAGUAUAAUCAGUAGAAAUCUGGAGUGGAAAUAUUAAUAUCAAACAAAGAAACAUAAGAACAAGGAAUAUUCCCAUAAUAAAGAAAAUUAUUACAUAAUAAUGGAGUAUCUAAAAACAGAGUUUCAAAAUCCACAGAGAUAUAUGGUGUCAUAGCUGCAGCACUGGGAGCUUGCUAAAACUCAGGCCCCAUCUGGGCCCUACUGAUUGUAAUCUGCCUUUAUAACAAGAUCCCUAUGUGAUCCGAGGGCAGAUUAAAAUCUAAGAACACGGAUAGAGGGCAUUUUACCACAUGUCUAAUAAAGAAUAAACACUCGGAUGUCAUAACGUGUACAAAUACCAAAUCAUUAGGUUUCCCACCUUGAAUAUAUACAACUUUUAAUUUUCAAUUACUCCCCAACAAAGCUGAAAAAAAGUCAAUUAAAAUAGAUAUUCCGCCACAAACCCUCCCAUGUAAAUAUAAAUAAGAUAAGAGAAUUCAAUAAACCCAUAAGCAACUCAGUCCCGUCAUUACAAUCCUUUUCAUUGUUUAGAAAAGAAUCUUGGCUUCCUGGGUUCACAGAGGAAACAGAAUUCAGCAACGUAGUUUAUAAUAAACGUUUGAAAGGUAGAGAAUAAAAGAGAGUAUUGAUAUGAAAAAUAUUCUAAUACCAGUUUUUAAAGGUAGUUUUUCCAUCUCAAUUAUCUUUAGUUAUGUAAUUGCUCUAAGCUGUUUGAACCACAAAUAGAAGGUUCCCAAUUACCUUCUUGAGGAGAGUUAAUAGUCUGAACUCUUUUAUACUUUCAAAUAUGGGUUCUGGCUCCCAGCUGCUUUAAGGAGAGGCCCAGCCCCUCCCCCACAUACUCUGACUUUAUUAGAUCCGAGUGAGGCUCUGACAGCAAUAUUUCUUUGAAGGUCCCCAAAUGACUCUACUGUACAGCCAGGGUAAAGAACCUUUAACAAAUUAAGGUUUAAAAAAAAAAAAAAUACACAGGAGCGCCUGGGUAGCUCAGUCAGUUGAGCAUCAGACUCUUGGUUUUGGCUCAGGUCAUGAUCUCAUGGUUUCAUGAGUUCAAGCCCCCUAUGGGGCUCUGUAUUGGCAGCACAGAGGCUGUUUGGGAUUCUCUCUCUCUCCCUCUCUCUCUGCCCUUCCCACGCUUGCGCUGUCCCUGUCUCUCUCAAAAUAAAUAAGCAAAACUUUUACAAAAUAAAGCAAAAUAAAAAUACACAAAAGUAGUAACUUUGAUUGCGAUCCAAUAUCUGUUGUUUGUUUUUCUUCUCCCUUUUGUUGUCAUUUCAUAUAGAUGGUCACUGGUUGCUGAAUGAAAUAAAUCAUCUGUCUCAUUAGUCCGGACAAGCACGAAGAAAGAGCAGCGUCGUCUGACAUCCACAGUGUGAGAAGCAGCCUCAGACAGCAGCAUUAAAUGGCAUCUUAGUAUACCUACUUAGUACAUUUAGGACACGCUAUGCAGAGAGAGACUGCAGAGGUUCCAAAGCUCUACUUUGGAAGUGACUUACAAACACACAGCAAAACAAUGAAGAUGAAAGAAACCCCAAGAAAUCAGUUCUCUUUUUUAAAUUGAAAACAAGCAGGAAAUGGCACCGAUGGAGCUAAAGCUGGGCUUAAUGGUUUACAGUGGAAGAUGGCACCCGCUGACCCUCAGGGUCACCUCCUCACAAUGCCCUCAAGCCGGCUGACGGCGCCCACCCCUCUGCUCCUUCCAUGACUUGACCUGUAACAGGUAAGGGAGAGCAACCCCCCCUUGGCUGAGCAGUCCUGUCCUAGGCACUCUCUGGUUGUCUGUCACUAUUGUCCUUCACAAUAGCCUCACGUGGAAGAUUCUGUAUCCAUUUUGCAGAUGAGGAAACAACGCCUCAGAAAUGCUAAUCGACUCUGCCAAAUGUGUCCAGCUAGUAACUAGCAGAUUCAGGGGUUGAACCCAUCUGUGGGCUCCAAACGCUCCUCUUUCUCUGGUCACCCUGGAUCUCGCAGGCAUCCACAGUGGUCCAGAAAGAGUGUGCCCAGGCAGCCAGCUAUCUCAGAGAGGAAGGAGUUUUCCAGGCAGGACCUCCAGAGACUAGAGUUAGUCACACUCUUAUUCCUACAGUUCCCCAGAUGAUGAUAGCCACCACCAGGUGAUUUGAGCUGGACAAAUAGACGGUAAAGGUGGGAAAACUAGAACCUUCCACUGAGUGGGGCUGGAAGUAAGGGCUUGGUAUGGGAGCAUGAGUUGGCGGGGGGGGGGGCGGGUAUCAGCAUCCUCACUUAGAAUCUCUGACUCCUUCCCAUGAAUGUUUUGUUACAGAGUAGGCUCAGAGUAGGCCCUCGUGACUAGUGUCAUGAUUAUGCAUAAAGAUGCUCAUAGUUAAUAGAGCCUUUAGUGAGCUGAUCAGAGCCCAAAUAAUAUGACCAAAUGGAGUGAUUAAUGAGGCCGGAGAUUCCAGGUUUACAACUAUCGUCCUGGGGUGCCAUUUGGUUUGGACAUUCCUGAACUUCUCAUUUUAGAACAAAAUAAUAGUAAUAAUAAUUCUAUUGAAAUAGGCCAGGAUAGGUUUGAACCUCCAGCUUCUGUCAUGGGUGGUCUCAUGGGUGAGAUGCAGAGUUAUCCUUUUAACAUGGGGUUGAAUUUGAAAGACAACCUGUAAUAUCAAUGGGCCCCACAUUAUAAAGAUGCUUCCGUAAAAACUUUGGCUGUGUUUCUGGAAGGGCAGGAGAAUAGUCCAGGCCAGUGAAGCAUUGCAUGCAAAGGUCUCUUUAGAUCUCUAUCUAAAUGCAAGUGUUCCUCCAAGGGCAUCUCAUCUUGUCAUCAGCAGUUCAAGCCGCUGAGAGCCAAGGCUAUAACUAAAGGUGACAACAAGGUGGAGGAAAGAGUCUUUAUGCAGAGACACACAAUCUGAGGGUUUCACAACUUGGCAAAGGUUUGUCCCAGUCUACGGAAGACUGUAAACCAUCUUGGGAUUUACAUUAGAGGCUGCAGAUCCUGUGAGACCAAGAUUCCCCACAAGGGCUUCCCUGAAGCAGAGACUGUGUGCCAGGGACCCUAUCCUAGUAGAAUCAUGAGGACAUCACUGCCACAAAACAGAGACCCACACCAUCGGCGACAGUGUAACAAGGCUCUGUCUGGUGUCAUCUUUCCCCGGAAGAUCAUUAUAACUCAUUAUAAAUUAGGAAGAGGCUGGCAUGAAAUUGUAUUGCUAAAGAUCUACUUAACUCCCAGAUGAUUCCUCAUUCCCUUUUACGGUUCAUCUAAAGACCCACUCAUAUGAUAUAAAAGAGGGAUAUCAACUUUCCUGAAAUCAGCUAGUUGAUUUUCAUUCAGGGACAAGACGUUGAUUUUAGAACAUUUCAUAUUUGUUCUAUGUGCUCUACAUAAUACACAUUUAUAUAAGUAAUAGUAUACUCCCACCUAAAAGCGAAUGUGAUAGUGUUAGCAGUGGUCAAAAUAAUUAAAUGUGCAAUGAUUCUAUACCUCCAAAAUCAACUUCAAAAAAAGUUGUCUCACUAUUUUAUCUAUAAAAUAGAUUUAUUUUAAAUCCCAGAUUAUUCUAUAAAUUUCCCUUCCUUACCUGGUAUCAAUAUGGGGUCAAAUAAUGUGCUCUGUUUUUUCCACUGAAGACCGUUAGUAGACGUUUAGCCUGGGGAAAACGGAUUAGGAAAACAAACAACAAACACAUAAAAAUAAAUUAAGUAGGCGAAAGCAAACUGGACAUUCUCAUUACUGAUAGCUCCAAAUAUGUACAAUUUCCUGUUUUCUAGCACAAUCAAAAUACCCAGAAGAAGGGGCGCCUGGGUGGUUCAGUCGGUUAAGCAUCCGACUUCGGUUCAGGUCAUGAUCUCAUGGUAUGUGAGUUCGAGCUCCGCAUCGGGCUCUCUGCUGUCAGCAUGGAGCCCACUUCAGAACCCGUGUCCCCCUCUCUCUCUGCCCCUCCACCACUCGUGAGAGCUCUCUCUCAAAAAUAAAUAAAAACAUUAAAAAAAAACUAGAAAAAGAUUUUUGUUUUCCAAGAAUAUGAUUCAGCUUACAAUGACCAUCUUUUAUAAAAUUCCUCAUUUGUACUCCUAAUAAAUCUUCGAGAUCAGAGGUAUAAUGCAUCAGGGGAUAUAAGACAUGAACAAUAGCAAUUUAUUAUGUUCCUGAGACACUAAAAACAUUUUCCCUAUUCACUAGAAUAGCAAAAAAGUUUCACUGGGACCAUGCAAAUGAUCACUUUUCAAAUGAUAAAACACUAAAAUGUUUUAUAAGCUCUUUUUCUACGGGUCCCCAGGGAUUUGCUUUAAGUAUUUGCAUAAAUAACUUAUAAAUGGAUACAUCAGAGUGGGCUGAGUGGAGCAAGGACAGCCUCCACAGAGCGCAUCUUAAACUGCACCCACUGUAAAGGGGAGUGCUCACCGUCAGCGACAGUACAGGUGUUGCUUCAUAAUCCUGAACAAGUCUCCCCAUUCGGUGACUUUCCAGGUCGUCUCUUGCGUGUCCUUCAGCAUGUUUAAUCUGUCUCCCUUCUCAAGGACUCGUGAACACCGUAGGUGACCCUCUUAAAAGUGCCUCCUGCACAGAGUAGUGGGGAAAGCUCAACUGGCACGCCAGGCAACUCUGUGAUUACACUUGACACGAAUGUUAUGCCUAGUAGCCUGAGGGAAGAAGACACAUGAAGAGAGAUACUAACAGGAACCAUAAAACCUUACCAGAGCAGGGGCAGAGCAUUGUGCCACACAGCAUGUCUUGGCUUCGUCCACGUGACGCACAGCAAUGAGAAAUACAACGUAAUAGCACAAUGAAACGCGGUAUUCGGCGUUCAAAUCAAAGAAGGAACAAGGCACCCAAUCUUGGCCCUGUACGCGCCCAAUAUACACUCAAACCUGGAAACAACUCAGCUUGCCUACAAAUCCAGAGCCCUGCGAAACUAAAUGGAGUCCUAUGGAAGCCACACAAGUUGGCUAACAGUGUAUACACUAUACUCUUGGUUUUGGGGGUAGAUUCCCGUGACUCAUAGCUCCUAUGACUCCUAUGACUCAUAGCUCACAUACAAUACCCAGUGCUCAUCCCAACAGGUGCCCUCCUCAAUCCCCCUCACCCACCCUGCCCUCCCUCCCAUCCCCCGUCAACCCUCAGUUUGUUCUUAGUUCUUUUAUUUAUUUAUUUUAUUUAUUUUUAUUUUUUAUUUUUUUAAUAUAUGAAGUUUAUUGUCAAAUUGCUUUCCAUACAACACCCAGUGCUCAUCCCAAAAGGUGCCCUCCUCAAUACCCAUCACCCACCCUCCCCUCCCUCCCACCCCCCAUCAACCCUCAGUUUGUUCUCAGUUCUUUUAUUUAUUUAUUUUUAUUUUUUAUUUUUUCAAUAUAUGAAGUUUAUUGUCAAAUUGCUUUCCAUACAACACUCAGUGCUCAUCCCAACAGGUGCCCUCCUCAAUACCCCUCACCCACCCUCCCCUCCCUCCCACCCCCCAUCAACCCUCAGUUUGUUCUCAGUUCUUUUAUUUAUUUAUUUAUUUAUUUAUUUAUUUAUUUAUUUAUUUUUAUUUUUUAUUUUUUAUUUUUUAUUUUUUUUUAAUUUUUUUUUCCAACGUUUAUUUAUUUUGGGACAGGGAGAGACAGAGCAUGAAUGGGGGAGGGGCAGAGAGAGAGGGAGACACAGAAUCGGAAACAGGCUCCAGGCUCUGAGCCAUCAGCCCAGAGCCUGACGCGGGGCUCGAACUCACAGACCGCGAGAUCGUGACCUGGCUGAAGUCGGACGCUUAACCGACUGCGCCACCCCGGCGCCCCUAUUUUUUAUUUUUUCAAUAUAUGAAGUUUAUUGUCAAAUUGGUUUCCAUACAACACCCAGUGCUCAUCCCAACAGGUGCCCUCCUCAAUGCCCAUCACCCACCCUCCCCUCCCUCCCACCCCCCAUCAACCCUCAGUUUGUUCUCAGUUUUUAAGAGUCUCUUAUGGUUUGGCUCCCUCCCUCUCUGUAACUAUUUUUUCCCCUUCCCUUACCCCAUGGUCUUCUGUUCAGUUUCUCAAGUUCCACAUAUGAGUGAGAACAUAUGAUAGCUGUCUUUCUCUGACUGACUUAUUUCACUUAGCACAAUACCUUCCAGUUCCAUCCACGUUGCUGCAAAGGACAGGAUUUCAUUCUUUCUCAUUGCAAGUAGUAUUCCAUUGUAUAUAUAAACUGCAUCCACUUUAUCCAUUCAUCAGUUGAUGGACAUUUAGGCUCUUUCCAUAAUUUGGCUAUUGUUGAAAGUGCUUCUAUAAACAUUGGGGUCAAGCGUAAGGCACUGAAAUUAUAACAUUAGAUCGUAACACUGUUGGCAUUUUGUAAUAAAAACUUGAAUCCAGGGGAUAAAAAAGCUGUUUUUUUCUUUUUAUUAUUAUUUUAGAGAGAAAGAGAGAGCAGGAGGUGGGGGGAGGGGCAGAGGGAGACAGAGAGAGAAUCCUAAGCAGACUCCACGCUCAGUGCAGAGCCUGAUGAGGGGCUCUAUCCCACGACCCUGAGAUCACAACCUGAGCCAAAAUCAAGAGUCAUACACUCAACUGACUGGGCCUCCCAGGUGCCCCCAAAAAGCUAUUUUUUAAAGGCUCAUUUACUAAUUCAUUGUCUUGAUCUCCAGAAUGACUGCUAAUAAUCACAUUGUAACAACGUCCGAGGAAAAGAAACCUGACCCUCCUUCUUAUCCACCAUCCCACCCCACUCAGGAUACUUCUUCCCACCCUCAGCUUCCUGCCCUCCCACCGAAUCUCUACAUUUUAAUUUCUUCUCUUCCAAAUGAAAGAGUAGGCUCCAACCCACAAGUGCUGUCUGGCUGGCUGCUCUGCGGUACAGCUUUUCCAGGCAGAAGAACAGAACCAGAAAAGCCCCUGGGGUGCAGACUGGCCCGGCAACAUGCUCCGCUCUCGCAUCGAUCAGGUUCAUUGUCUCAAAUGUAACACAGAAUUAGACUCACCAUUUUAAGAUACGUAAGAACAUGUUCGUGGAUCCGGGGUCUGAGCCAAGCUCAUCUCUGAUUCUAAAGCUGACCUUGAAUUCUCUCCUGUUUCGUUGUGGACGUAUGUGUGGAUGCUCAACAUCUCAUGUUGGAUACCACAGAGGUCAGUCAAUGGAGCAGAAUGCAUAAACUUUGAAAAUUACUACAAUGAAACACUACAAAAAUUACAAGCCAGAACUACAAGCUUUCCUCAUGUUUUCAUCACCUACCGAUUUGUUUAUUGGUCUUCCAAAGCAUUUGCCCGAUCUGGAGGACCAUAUUGUGAAUAUAAGGGUACCAUUCGUUUACCCGUAAGAGGCAUUAUUUUGAUGUGUUGCCGGGGGCUACUCAUCAACAGUCAUCAGUUGCACAAUAUAAUUUUUAAAAAUCACCCUGAG